ensembl:lncRNA
UUAUAGGAGGAGGAGGCACGGAAAUCUGAGGGUGGUCGUCUUAUUGAUUAGAUAAUUUAUGGUACUGCUGAACCAGCCGGUGCACCAAAGUGACUAAACAAGGCAUGAAAAUUGGUCAAUUGGGCUGAAGUUAGUGGUUCUCAGCAACAAGAACCAGAAAAAUGCUUCACCUAGUUAAACUCUAAAGGGUGCUCCCUCUCAGUACUACAGCAGCAGGCAGACGCUGGUGCCAUCUCCUUUUCUCGAGCAGACACAGAUCACUGAUGACAGCAGCACUCAGCAGGCAGGUCAGCUGUUCUACGUCGGCCUGCCCUCCAGCUACAGCCUGCCUGUGCUGGAAGGCCCCCUGCCGAGGCUCCCCUCCUAUGAGAGCGUCCGAAAGAAGGACCGCCAGAGGCAGAUCCACAUGAUGAUCGCAGACCGUUUUGGUCUCAAUGGACCCAUUGUGACUGAGCCUCCUCCAACAUACGAAGAGAGCAUCCGUCAGUCGGUGGAGCUGCCGUACGACAUCCUCUCAUCCAGCCUGGACGUCCCCUCUGCUCAGAGUUUCUACACCAACACUAGAGCCG